AUACGGAGGGUCCAAGCGUUGUUCGGAAUUACUGGGCGUAAAGCGAGCGUAGGCGGCUGCGCAAGUCGGAUGUGAAAUCCCAGGGCCCAACCCUGGAACUGCACCCGAAACUGCGUAGCUAGAGUCCCGGAGAGGAUGGCGGAAUUUCCGGUGUAGCGGUGAAAUGCGUAGAUAUCGGAAGGAACACCAGUGGCGAAGGCGUCUAACUAGAACGGGUCUGACGGUGAGGGACGAAAGCUAGGGGAGCAAUCCGGAUUAGAUACCCGAGUAGUCC
rnacentral:rRNA from 1 species